UCGGGAAUUUUGGGCAAUGGGCGAAAGCCUGACCCAGCAACGCCGCGUGAGGGAUGAAGUAUUUCGGUAUGUAAACCUCGAAAGAAUGGGAAGAAUAAAUGACGGUACCAUUUAUAAGCUCCGGCUAACUACGUGCCAGCAGCCGCGGUAAUACGUAGGGAGCAAGCGUUGUUCGGAUUUACUGGGCGUAAAGGGCGCGUAGGCGGCGCGGUAAGUCACUUGUGAAAUCUCUGAGCUUAACUCAGAACGGCCAAGUGAUACUGCUGUGCUAGAGUGCGGAAGAGGCAACCGGAAUUCUUGGUGUAGCGGUGAAAUGCGUAGAUAUCAAGAGGAACGCCUGAGGCGAAGGCGGGUUGCUGGGCCGACACUGACGCUGAUGCGCGAAAGCCAGGGGAGCAAACG
rnacentral:rRNA from 1 species